rnacentral:rRNA from 1 species
CGAUUGAACGCUAGCGGGAUGCUUUACACAUGCAAGUCGAACGGCAGCGCGAGGAAAGCUUGCUUUUCUUGGCGGCGAGUGGCGAACGGGUGAGUAAUGUAUCGGAACGUGCCCAGUAGCGGGGGAUAACUACGCGAAAGCGUGGCUAAUACCGCAUACGCCCUACGGGGAAAGGGGGGGAUCGCAAGACCUCUCACUAUUGGAGCGGCCGAUAUCGGAUUAGCUAGUUGGUGGGGUAAAGGCUCACCAAGGCAGUGAUCCGUAGCUGGUUUGAGAGGACGACCAGCCACACUGGGACUGAGACACGGCCCAGACUCCUACGGGAGGCAGCAGUGGGGAAUUUUGGACAAUGGGGGCAACCCUGAUCCAGCCAUCCCGCGUGUGCGAUGAAGGCCUUCGGGUUGUAAAGCACUUUUGGCAGGGAAGAAACGGCGCUGGCCAAUACCUGGCGCCACUGACGGUACCUGCAGAAUAAGCACCGGCUAACUACGUG